UACGGGGGGAGCAAGCGUUGUUCGGAUUUACUGGGCGUAAAGGGCGCGUAGGCGGCCUGUUAAGUCGAACGUGAAAUCCCCGGGCUCAACCCGGGAACUGCGUCCGAUACUGGCAGGCUUGAAUCCGGGAGAGGGAUGCGGAAUUCCAGGUGUAGCGGUGAAAUGCGUAGAUAUCUGGAGGAACACCGGUGGCGAAGGCGGCAUCCUGGACCGGCAUUGACGCUGAGGCGCGAAAGCCAGGGGAGCAAACGGGG
rnacentral:rRNA from 1 species